ACUCAAAUGAAUUGACGGGGGCCCGCACAAGCAGUGGAGCAUGUGGUUUAAUUCGACGCAACCCGAAGAACCUUACCAGGGCUUGACAUCUACCUAAUCCCUUAGAGAUAGGGGAGUGCGUUUUCGGACGAAAGGUAAGACAGGUGGUGCAUGGUUGUCGUCAGCUCGUGUCGUGAGAUGUUGGGUUAAGUCCCGCAACGAGCGCAACCCUUGUGAUUAGUUGCCAGCAAGUAAAGUUGGGCACUCUAGUCAGACUGCCGGUGAUAAACCGGAGGAAGGUGGGGAUGACGUCAAAUCAUCAUGCCCUUUAUGUCCUGGGCUACACACGUGCUACAAUGGCCUGAACAACGGGAAGCGAAGUCGCGAGGCUAAGCGGAACCCUAAAAACAGGUCUCAGUUCGGAUUGCAGGCUGAAACUCGCCUGCAUGAAGCCGGAAUUGCUAGUAAUCGCGGAUCAGCAUGCCGCGGUGAAUACGUUCCCGGGCCUUGUACACACCGCCCGU
rnacentral:rRNA from 1 species